rnacentral:rRNA from 1 species
AUUGAACGCUGGCGGCAUGCCUUACACAUGCAAGUCGAACGGUAACAGGUUAAGCUGACGAGUGGCGAACGGGUGAGUAAUGUAUCGGAACGUGCCCAGUCGUGGGGGAUAACUGCUCGAAAGAGCAGCUAAUACCGCAUACGACCUGAGGGUGAAAGCGAGGGAUCGCAAGACCUCGCGCGAUUGGAGCGGCCGAUAUCAGAUUAGGUAGUUGGUGAGGUAAAGGCUCACCAAGCCGACGAUCUGUAGCUGGUCUGAGAGGACGACCAGCCACACUGGGACUGAGACACGGCCCAGACUCCUACGGGAGGCAGCAGUGGGGAAUUUUGGACAAAGGGCGCAAGCCUGAUCCAGCCAUGCCGCGUGCGGGAAGAAGGCCUUCGGGUUGUAAACCGCUUUUGUCAGGGAAGAAAAGGUUCUGGCUAAUACCUGGGACUCAUGACGGUACCUGAAGAAUAAGCACCGGCUAACUACGUG